rnacentral:rRNA from 1 species
UACGGAGGGAGCUAGCGUUGUUCGGAAUUACUGGGCGUAAAGCGCGCGUAGGCGGCUUUGUAAGUUAGAGGUGAAAGCCCGGAGCUCAACUCCGGAACUGCCUUUAAAACUGCAUCGCUUGAAUCCAGGAGAGGUGAGUGGAAUUCCGAGUGUAGAGGUGAAAUUCGUAGAUAUUCGGAAGAACACCAGUGGCGAAGGCGACUCACUGGCCCGAUACUGACGCUGAGGCGCGAAAGCGUGGGGAGCAAACAGG